rnacentral:rRNA from 1 species
GUGGGGAAUAUUGGGCAAUGGGCGAAAGCCUGACCCAGCAACGCCGCGUGAAGGAAGAAGGUCUUCGGAUCGUAAACUUCUAUCCUUGGUGAAGAUAAUGACGGUAGCCGAGAAGGAAGCCCCGGCUAACUACGUGCCAGCAGCCGCGAUAAUACGUAGGGGGCAAGCGUUGUCCGGAAUGAUUGGGCGUAAAGGGCGCGUAGGCGGCCUGGUAAGUCUGGAGUGAAAGUCCUGCUUUUAAGGUGGGAAUUGCUUUGGAUACUGUCGGGCUUGAGUGCAGGAGAGGUAAGCGGAAUUCCCGGUGUAGCGGUGAAAUGCGUAGAGAUCGGGAGGAACACCAGUGGCGAAGGCGGCUUACUGGACUGUAACUGACGCUGAGGCGCGAAAGUGUGGGGAGCAAACAGGAUUAGAUACCCGGGUAGUCC